CCCAGAACUGUCUGGGCAGGGGAGACAGACGCCAGUCACCCUCCUCCCCUCCCAGCUGGCCCUGAUGGGGCCCCCGUCCAGGCAUAUUCUCAGAAUUCUGUCCCAAGUCCAGGCGGAUGGGCUAGGCUAGUGUCUGAGUGCUGCUCCCCCAGCAGACUUGGGGUCCCAGUACCCACAAAGCUUGGCAGGGACAUAGGAGGCCUCUUCCUGAGACUUCCG
rnacentral:lncRNA from 1 species